rnacentral:rRNA from 1 species
CCUACGGGUGGCAGCAGUGAGGAAUAUUGGUCAAUGGACGGGAGCCUGAACCAGCCAAGUCGCGUGAGGGAAGACUGUCCUACGGAUUGUAAACUUCUUUUGCCGGGGAGCAACAGGGUCCUUGCGAGGUCUCAAUGAGAGUACCCGGAGAUAAAGCAUCGGCAAACUCCGUGCCAGCAGCGGCGGUAAUACGGGGGAUGCGAGCGUUAUCCGGAUUUAUUGGGUUUAAGGGGUGCGUAGGCGGGCUGUUAGGUCAGCGGUAAAAUGUCGGGGCUCAACCCAGGCUUGCAGUUGAUACUGGCGGACUCGAGUGGGCGAGAAGUAUGCGGAAUGCGUGGUGUAGCGGUGAAAUGCAUAGAUAUCACGCAGAACUCCGAUUGCGAAGGCAGCAUACCGGCGCCCUACUGACGCUGAGGCACGAAAGUGUGGGUAUCGAACAGGAUUAGAUACCCUGGUAGUC